UUGCCGCGCCGAACGCUGCGUUGCUCGACGCUCACCGCGUCCAAUGCGGGGCGCGUAGUCGCUGCGCCAUAGCCCAUUGUCUUACACCCCUUGGCGGGUCGACGGGAACGCUGUCACGUUCCACUCUUGAAGGCGAAGCAGAGCAACGCAUGAGUUGUUUCUUCGUCUAGCCGAACCAAAUAUAGCCAAGCAACAGCAGUUCACCACGCUAAACUGUGGUUCAACAACUAAAAUAAAGGCUAGUAUGCUUCGCAUCCUGGGCUUAACCUUAGCUAAGCCAUAGGUAUUUUUUUUCUCACUGAAGGACUUUGACAUUCUUGAAAAAUCCGUGCAGGUUUGCGGCAGCCAGGUCAAGUAACAGCGUAUACCACGGAGCCAACAACCUCUUCGCAGGGGACAGAACAGGUUCCCGAGGGCUCCGACAACGUAGGGACGGGCAGCGACCAAAGCGUGGACGCCAUGUCCCUGACGACCAUUGUGUCAGAUGACUUGAGUGUGAGCGGUGAGAUGUUGAGCAGCAUGGCAACCAAGAUGGCCACU